ACAGAGGUGGCGAGCGUUGUUCGGAUUUACUGGGCGUAAAGGGUGCGUAGGUGGUCACGUGUGUCGGUUGUGAAAUCCCACUGCUCAAUGGUGGAACUGCAAUCGAAACUACGAGACUAGAGUGUAUGAGGGGAGAGGGGAAUUCUUGGUGUAGCGGUGAAAUGCGUUGAUAUCAAGAAGAACACCGGUGGCGAAGGCGCCUCUCUGGAAUACUACUGACGCUGAGGCACGAAAGCUAGGGGAGCAAACAG
rnacentral:rRNA from 1 species